ensembl:lncRNA
GGACCACUAUAGACCAGUAUAGACCAGUAUAGACCAGUAGAAACCAGUAUAGACCAAUAGGGACCCAUAGGGGUCCAUAGAGAGCCAUAGGAAGCAGUAGAAGAUCCCAGGAGAACCCAUUGUCCAACCCCUUCCCACACCAGUAUGGACCAGUAUAGACCAGUAUGGACCAGUAUAGACCAGUAUAGACCAGUAGAAACCAGUAUAGACCAAUAGGGACCAGUUUGGGCCGCUGCGGACCCAUAGAGGUCAAUAGAGGCCCAUAGGAACCAAUAGAAGAUCCCAGGAGAACCCAUUGUCCAACCCCUUCCAACCCCUUCCAACACCAGUAUGGACCAGUAUAGACCAGUAUAGACCAGUAUAAACCAGUAUAGACCAGUAUGGACCAGUAGAAACCAGUAUGGACCAAUAGGGACCAGUAUGGGCCGCUACGGACCCAUAGAGGUCAAUAGAGGCCCAUAGGAACCAAUAGAAGAUCCCAGGAGAACCCAUUGUCCAACCCCUUCCAACCCCUUCCAACACCAGUAUGGACCAGUAUAAACCAGUAUAAACCAGUAUGGACCAGUACGGACCAGUAUGGACCAGUAUGGACCAGUACGGACCAGUAGAAACCAGUAUGGACCAAUAGGGACCCAUAGUGGUCAAUAGAGGCCCAUAGGAACCAAUAGAAGAUCCCAGGAGAACCCAUUGUCCAACCCCUUCCAAC